AUAGUAAUAUCACAAGCUGGUGAAUAACCUUUUCUAGCCGUUAGUCACUCCUGUAAUACAAAGUUUCACUAUGGAAACUCAGCUAUGUUUCCCUUGGAGACCAUGUUACUGCUGGCAGGCCAUAAUUGUUAUGUCUCCUAGGUAUUUCAUUACAUCUUGCAUCAGAAUUGUUCAAUUCACAUGGGUCAUGUGUAGCACAUGAUAAAUAGAUAGAUUGGCCUAUCGUUUCAAUGGGCGUUUUCCAUCCAGUAAUAUUAUAU